CUUGAGCAGUUUAGAUGCCUGGCUGUUAUAAUCUGACGCGGACCAAUCGUUGGGGGAAGACAUUGUUCCUAACGGGAAAGAAUCAUCAGCAGACCGCAGCGAUGACAUCACAAUGGAUUCGGAACAAACGUUGCAUGAAGUGGAUCACUGCCUGCCUGGUUCUGAUAUGGUACUGAGAUUGAUUACCUUUCUGCAAACCAGAGUAAAAGCAUAGUGAAAGCAUGCUAAACCGUCAGCCUGCUUCACUCCUGCUCCCUGUACUGCAGAAGCGAGUCUCUGUGGUAGAGCUCCAUACCAUGUGCCUUUGAAAGUGUUGCUCAACGCUGUGGAAUGCAAAGCCAGCGUGACCACCAGGGUGGAGAGACCUGCAGAUUACUGAGGGGGCUGGGACAGGGGUAGAGCUGCUCCGAGUGUGCGAGGCAUGGCUUUCAGGACACCUCUGGAGGGCACUCGCCAAAAAGAGUUCCACUGGUCUUGUAAAGAGUCGCACACAUCUACCUAGCGUUUGCCAGAACGCACACUUAAAACUUCCGUUUGGACAACUGUUACCGUCAAUAGGUUUUAAUAUUACCAAAUUAGACACUGUUGUUUUUUUUUAUUGCUGGACAGGUUGCGUUUUGAGGAAAUGCUAAUGCACAUUUUGACGGCAUGUAUGUGUCUAUGGAAAUAAAUUGUGCAAAUUGCAUAAAUUACCCAUGAACACUGUUCACCUAUUACUGUAUAAAGACUAUAUGGAUAACAUCAAAUUGCUUCCAGACUUUACUUAGAAGACUUAUUUUUAUAGCCUGGCCUUUGCAACUGUUUGCGUCAGUGUAUUUGAAUGUAAUGUUGUUGUUUUCAGACAGCAGUUUAAUGAGUGUUUAAGACUGAAGUCUUGCCACAGUGUUCAGUGGUGGCUCAGAGGUUAAGUUAGUGUAGGGCUGUAGGGUCCAGUGAAGGGAGCCAGGCUGUUGAAGCCACCACUAUGCAGUGCCUAUCCUUAUGAACCCAUCACCCCAAUGAAACCCCACUGUUCGGAUAACAUUACACAGGAAACACUGACACAGAUGUUUGACAAAAACCAGAAGUGCUUGCAAUAUGUGUAAUUUCUUUUGAAAUACGAAUGGCAUUGGCCAGGUCAAGCUAUAUCUCCCGGUCACAGUGGGACGGAAAAUUGAACCGCCAGAGGCCUGAUCGCUAGUAGGAGCUCAGUUGGCAGGUGCUUCUGUAUCCCAGAUCAAUUACUGAUGUAUCACAAGGAAUCUAUUUGGAUUACUUGAAUUAUACCUUCCGUGGGGCAGAGACCAUACCCCCAAUGCAACCUACCUGAAGGAACUAGAGGCUGGUAAUCUUUGUGGAAUGGGCAAAGCGAUUUCAACACCUUGCAGACCUGAAUCAAGUUGAAACACUGUCUGCAGUGUUAUGAUAGACGCUCUUUCCCUUCCACAGUGCAUGGUAGAGUGCAUAGCAAACAGUGAACUGACCGGGUGACCCCCUGGCCCACGAGCACGCCUUCCAUUUUAGGAAGCGAUACCAAAAGUGCCUGCUAUAGUGAUUCCAGGGUUAUGAAGUCACAUGACCCCGGCGGUGUAGGUUAUCAAAAUUCCAGCGGAGCUCGGCCAAUGGGAGGCCUGGAAUCCGAUAUGACAGCUUUCCUUCUCCCUCUGCCGGCCCCCUUUCCUGUGACCUUUCCCUGUUUAUUUGUGUGUAGCCUUAUCAGUCAUAGCAGCCAUUGCUUUCCUUUGUGUGUG